rnacentral:lncRNA from 1 species
UCUUGUUGGGUGGAUGUCUGAGUGUGUGCCUUACUGAAAUGUCUUCUCAUUUUUGUUUUCGGUACUGUCCUUGGUUUUGUUCCUGGGUUGAUACUUUGUAAGUAUCUUGGUUGAAGUAUUUAGAACCCUUAUGGAAUGACUACUUCUCACAGGUGUCUUUGAUAUAUACCUGGAGUUUAGGUUUUGAGUCUCUAAGGGCUGUGAGGCCUUCCCAUUUACAUUAUACCAGGAAGUAGGACUGAGGAGAUCAAUCCCAACAUCUUAGCCCAAGUGGUAGAAGGAGCAACACAAUACAAUGAGGCACUUCUUCCAAAAUGACCAUUCCUGGGAAUUAUUAAUCUCUCACCUUUCACUAUGUGAUUUAAAUCAAAAUGAAUGACCAACCCAACAUAUGUUUAUAGUGAAUGAACUCUUGCACAUAGCAACUUUACCUUUCAGAAUGGGGAAAUAGAAAGAGUCGGGGAGGAAGGGAUAUGUACGUAGAAGGAUAGGGGAAGGUUAGCAGUGAAGCCAGAGGACACAGGUGAGAGAAGAAAAGAGAAGAAAUGUAAAAAUAAGAAAGAAAUAUGAAUUAGGCCCAGAACGGGAAUACAAAGGGAGGUGAAGAACAAUGUGGGACAGCAAGGGAGCCUGGGAGAGAGUGAAAGCAAAGAGGAAAAAAUCAAAAAAGUGAAAAAUAACAAAUAUAAGAGUAGAUAAAGGAAAAAAAUUAAACAGAGCAAAGAACUAGUGGUAAUUUUGAAAAUAAGAAAUAAAGGAGUAAAAUGAAUGGACUCCUUCAGGGUAUGUCUCUUCUGUCACUCUAGACAAUAUGGCC